rnacentral:rRNA from 1 species
GAGUAUUAAUAGUUAUGAUCUUAAAACUUAAAGAAUUUGGCGGUAUUUUAUUCUAUUUAGAGGAAUCUGUUAUUUAAUCGAUAAUCCACGUGGAACCUUACUUAUAUUAUUUCUUGUAUAUCGCUGUUUUAGAAUAUAUUUUUAGAUUAUUUUCUGAAUAUAUAAUUAAUUAAAAUUUCAAGUCAAGGUGCAGUAAUAUAUAAGUUUAAUAAUGGGUUACAAUAAAUUUAAUUUAUAUGAAUUUUUAUUGAAAUAAUAAUUUGAAGGUGAAUUUAAUUGUAAUUUUAUAAAGAUUAUUAAAAUGAUUUUUAGCUCUAUAAUAUGU